CGGACGGGUGAGUAACGCGUGGAAAACCUGCCGUAUACUGGGGGAUAACACUUAGAAAUAGGUGCUAAUACCGCAUAAGCGCACAGCUUCGCAUGAAGUGGUGUGAAAAACUCCGGUGGUAUACGAUGGUUCCGCGUCUGAUUAGCUUGUUGGUGGGGUAAUGGCUCACCAAGGCGACGAUCAGUAGCCGGCCUGAGAGGGUGAACGGCCACAUUGGGACUGAGACACGGCCCAGACUCCUACGGGAGGCAGCAG
rnacentral:rRNA from 1 species